CGGGCAGCCGUGACCCUGCUGGAGUGCGUGGGGGACCUCCAGCCCCCCGGGGGGGCCCUGCGCGUCCUCUGCCGAGGGUCCGGGUUCAGUUUCGGCAGUUUUGGCAUGCAGUGGUUGCGCCAGAGACCCGGACAGGGGCUGGAGUGGGUCGCGGGUAUCAGGAACGAUGGUGCUUACACCGACUACGCGCCGUCGGUCAAGGGCCGGGUCACGAUCUCCAGGGACAACGGGCAGAGCUCGGUGGUGCUGACCAUGAACAACCUCAAGGACGAGGAUUCCGCCACAUAUUUCUGUGGCAAAACCACUGCAUCUGGAAAUGUUUAUCCUGAUUAUGCUAUUGGCCCCGUCCCCAUCUCUGCAUCCCUACCUGUCCCCGUUCCCCAGAUCCUUCCCCCAUACCCCAACCCCUGA